rnacentral:rRNA from 1 species
AUGCAAGACCAUCAUCCCUUGGCAUAUCUCAGUAAGCCUCUCUGCUCCAAGAAUUUGGGAUUAUCAGCUUAUGAGAAGGAAUGUUUGGCAUUGCUCUUAGCCGUUGACCACUGGAGACCAUACCUGCAACACGCACCCUUCAUUAUCCGCACAGACCGGAAAAGUUUGUUGAACUUGAAAGACCAAAGGUUGAACACACCGAUUCAACAACGAGCAUUUACUAAAUUGGUUGGACUCCAAUUUCAGAUACAGUAUAAGGCAGACACUUCCAAUAAGGCGGCGGAUGCUCUCUCCAGACGGGUGCAUGAUGACAUGCCCGAAGUGUCAGCUGUGGCAAUAUGCAAACCGGCAUGGUUAGAGGCAGUGCUGGCUAGCUAUCGGGAGGACCUGGAGAUACAACGACUGGUAGCCCAGCUAGCAUUGGACCCAGCUUUCCACAAGGAUUACUCUCUUCAAGAAGGUGUUCUCCGCUAUCAAAAUCGCAUCUGGAUUGGCAAUGACUCUGACACACAGGUUUCCAUCAUUCGAGCCCUGCAUGACAGUGCGGUGGGAGGGCACUCAGGCUUCCAUGCAACUUAUAACAGAGUAAAGAGACUGUUUGCUUGGAAAGGGCUAAAGGAAAUGGUUAAACAGUUCGUUCGUGCCUGCAUCACUUGUCAACGUGCCAAAACUGAAAGAGUCUCACCUGCGGGGCUGCUGCAACCCUUGCCGAUUCCAAAAAGACCAUGGGUCGUCAUCUCCUUAGACUUCAUCGAAGGAUUGCCAAAAUCUGGAGGUUACGAUGUCAUUCUGGUGAUAGUGGAUAAGUUUUCCAAAUAUGACCAUUUCUUACCGCUGAAGCACCCAUACACAGCCUUGACGAUGGCGACAUCGUUCAUGAAAGAAAUCUUCAGGCUGCAUGGACUUCCUCUGGCUAUUAUCUCGGACCGUGAUCGUAUCUUCACCAGCACCAUCUGGCAGGAACUGUUCAAGCUAUCCAAGACUCAAUUACGGCUCAGCUCAUCGUAUCAUCCCCAGACUGAGGGGCAGACCGAGCGGGUGAACCAAUGCCUCGAGGGAUACCUCCGCUGCUCUGUACAUUCUUGCCCAGCCAACUGGGUCAAAUGGCUUUUUCUUGCGGAGUAA